GGCGCACGGGUGCGUAACGCGUGGGAAUCUGCCCUUUGGUACGGGAUAACAGCGGGAAACUGCUGCUAAUACCGUAUGAUGUCGCGAGACCAAAGAUUUAUCGCCGAAGGAUGAGCCCGCGUAGGAUUAGGUAGUUGGUGGGGUAAAGGCCUACCAAGCCGACGAUCCUUAGCUGGUCUGAGAGGAUGAUCAGCCACACUGGGACUGAGACACGGCCCAGACUCCUACGGGAGGCAGCAGUGGGGAAUAUUGGACAAUGGGCGAAAGCCUGAUCCAGCAAUGCCGCGUGAGUGAUGAAGGCCUUAGGGUUGUAAAGCUCUUUUACCCGGGAAGAUAAUGACUGUACCGGGAGAAUAAGCCCCGGCUAACUCCGUGCCAGCAGCCGCGGUAAUACGGAGGGGGCUAGCGUUGUUCGGAAUUACUGGGCGUAAAGCGCACGUAGGCGGUUUUUUAAGUCAGAGGUGAAAGCCCGGAGCUCAACUCCGGAAUUGCCUUUGAGACUGGAAGA
rnacentral:rRNA from 1 species